rnacentral:rRNA from 1 species
AUGGCCUCCAACCAGAACCAAGCGAGCUACGCGGCCGGCGAGACAAAGGCCCGCACCGAGGAGAAGACCGGGCAGAUGGUGGGCACCACCAAGGACAAGGCGGGGCAGGCCACGGAGACCACGAAGCAGAAGGCCGGCGAGGCCAAGGACAAGACGGCCCAGACGGCGCAGGCCGCCAAGGACCGCGCCGCCGAGAGCAAGGACCAGACCGGCAGCUACCUCGGCGAGAAGACGGAGGCGGCCAAGCAGAAGGCGUCGGAGACGGCGCAGUACGCGCAGGAGAGGUCCUCCGACGCCGCACAGUACACCGAGGAGUCCGCCGUCGCCGGCAAGGACAAGACUGGCAACGUGCUCCAGCAGGCCGGCGAGACGGUGGCGAACGCCGUGGCGAACACGCUAGGCAUGGGAUCACCACUGGCGCCACAAAGGACAGCACCACCGAGAAGAUCACCAGGGAUCACUAGACGCAUGCAUACGUCCAAUCUUUGCUGA